UGCUGGUCUACAGAGGAGAAGGGGUCUGUUGGGGAGGGAUUUGGUUUGCGCCGGGCUGGGGUUUGCUGCGGCUUGCUGCAGCGUGGCCGGUGGGUGCGAGAGUGCGCGGCUUGUCUGUCCGGGUGGUCUCCGUCGCUGCUGGCUGCGGUUCACUUAUCCGCCGCUGUUGUGUGGUGAUGUUGUGGCAUUCAUUGGGAUGUUUCAAUUUGGCCGUUGUUGUUGGUCAGAGGAAGGAGCGGUGGUCUUCAUCUGGCCCAACCUGGUGUGCGCGGCGUGGCGGCUCUGUACAAAGGGAGAGACGAUUUGGGGACGGCGUGGCGCUUCUUCGGCUUCGCUCGGUGGCUAUCUUCCAUGUGUCCCGAUGGAUCCGCUCAAAACAAUUCUGUUGAAACUAUCCAUGAGCGAAUGUUUACGCCAUCAAUGUUGACCAUUAUAUCAGAGAAUUUAAAGUAGGUAAUAUCCUUUCAUGUUUAAAUAAAUUAUCAUCUUAUUUAUUUCAAGGACUUGAGUGUUGUUACAGAAUACAUAUUAGCGGAUCUCGGUUUCUUAGGCUGAUUUCUCUUGCACCAACUGACACACUGUUGACAGCAUAAAAAAGAUGCUUGAACUAAAACUAAAUUCAAUAGUUGUUGCAAUUGAAGAGGAGCAUGGGGAAAUAUGAUGUGACAUAAUGAACCAUUUAGAAGAACAGAGGAAAACAUGGCAGCAAGACUCGGCAGUGCUUUCCAGGCAACAAAGGCCCUUCUUCUUUUAACUGAACCAGCAAAACGUGCCAGCUCCAUCUUCUCUUCUGUUGAGGGCAUGCGUGAGGAUGGAGGAGAGGGUGUGUGUGACAGCAAGAGAGGAUGGAGGCUAGGACGCGAGGACUGACCUCUCGGGUGGACAGACGGUGGCGCGAGAGCCGGACGGAGCUGGACGUCUCUGUAGCCCACACUCUUACUACGGACGACGAUGGUGCCGGCGUCGUGGACCAACGCUGCGGCUCGAGCUUAGGAAAGUGAAAUCGCAAAAGACUAAUAUGUAUAGUAGUUUCAAACUCUCCAUGACAAAGAAGAAAAAUCACAAUAAAAGUAUCCAUUGUACACACAAGUACCUUCCAAGAUGAAAGAAGUAGCAGCUUUCAAUGGAGAAAUAGGCAAUAAUAAUCGACUGUGCCUUCCUAAGCCAGCUCAUCAAUCACACAGACCUACAACCAAAAAAAGUGGACAUUUGAAAAUUUCAUCAAGCAAUUGGUAUACAAUUGCAAAUGAAGCUGAAAUUAAGUAAUCCAUGAGGUGAUGAAACCUACCUCUGUAGGUGAUGCAAUCCAAAUCAUGCCGGGCCAAUGAACAAAAUGGCCUGCAGCAUUCACCUAACACACAUCUAGCUGAAAGGCGGUAUUUCUUUGGUUCUCAAAAUGGGACAGUAACAGCAACAAAGGCUGAUGUUGGCUGCAAGCAAAGUAUUAUGCAUCAACUUGUAGCAAAAAACACGGUUGCACUUUCAUAUCAUUAAGAACAACAACGUAUUGGAGACUCAUCAGCUUCUAGUAUACCUGAAAAGAAAAUAUAUAGUUCAAACUCUUCUUCUCACCUCCCAGUACAUUAUAGUACAAAACAGGCAAGCACAAUAAAUAAAAUAAAUAGGAAAACAACAUAGUAAGGCGAUGCCAAGCAUCCAAGAUCCAACUUUAUGCCUACACAUAAUAACAGACAAAUGGAUUUCAAUUUACAGAAGUAAAUAAUGACUACUACUCAUGGGGUUUAGCAGUAACCCACUCUAUGAACCAACACAAAAUGGUUACAUAUUUUCCUUUUUCCUGAGAUCAUUUGCAUUGGGAAGCAUUUAACCCGACCUAAUCAGGAAGGAGCUACAGGUUUUCAUUUCUAUACUUGCUAAUUCAUUCCAACAUGCGUAAUAGCCUACUAAACCAAAUCAUCCAAAAGAAAUGAGAUAAUCUUCUCGACUAUGAUUAUUGUACAAUAAAGGCCAUGAGGUAAAUAGAAAUUAAAGCAUCCUGAUCUCCUUCAAUACUUAAAAUGCAACUACUCAACUUGUUAUCUUUUACUGGAACUAAAUUACAGAAAAAUCAAAUCACAUGACUAACAUAGAUUAAUCCUCCCCUGUUAGCCUUUUUGGAUUUUCAUCAAACAACUUGUAGACACGGAGAAACUAAAUUUGUACAAACAAAAUGAGAAGCUCUCGGAGCAGGGGACUGGAAGAAAGGGGGAAGAAUAAAUCAGUAAGAAGAGAAGGGACCUGAAGUCGAGCUGCAACCAGGCGAACUCUCGGCUGCACCGGCUGCUCGCGCUUCUCCUGUUGAGCACCUACGAUGAGGAAGAGGUCGACCAGAGCAGCCACACAAGGUGGAGGAAAAGGCAGACGGCAUGCCGUGGAGCGGCAGAAUCGGGAUCCAGCCCCAAGAUACGAGGCGACGCUCAUCAUCUGCCUCUCCAGUUCACCGGGUGGAUGGAUGGUGGCGUGAAGGGCGGUAGAUGAGGCAGCACUGGCGACUGUUGUGGCUGCUCCUACCCUGCGGCUGCCCCUCCCCUCUUCUCGAGCGCAUGGGCGGAGGCUGAGCACGGGCUGGCCGCAACUCGGUGCCUUCCGAGGGGGCACACGAACAGGCGCAGAGACGGCCGGCGGCGAGGCGGUGUAGGAGCAGGGGCGUGGUGGUGGUGGUGGUGGUGGUGUAGAGCAUGGGAAGAGGCGAGGAGAGGAGGCGGCGGCGAAGGGAGGAGAAAGUGGGCGAGAUGCGAGGACGGAAGGGGAUUGGCGAUUAGGUUUUCACCGUGCUGCUCGCAACGCUUAUCCUUCUUUCACCUUUCACCCAUUGAACAUAUAAAUGACGCUAGACAACCCGCCGUUCUGGAGGCAGCGUGCACGAUGUCUUUGACCACACGAUGGAGUUACUCGAGCAGUAACAGUGUUUUUUUUUGACUGCUGGCGUCUGGUCAGCCGUUGGUCUUUUUUUACGUUGGGGGCUGCUUCAAGAGUCGAUGGCGGGUGGGCCUCAUGAGGUGGGUUUCGCCUUGUUUCGGUGCGAUUGAAUUAGCCACGAAGAUGAAAAUAUCUCCCUCGUCAGCCCCUCUCACGUCAUCCUCGAUUCCUUCCGCUCCCUCGCGACCCCCGCCGCCGCCUCCUCUCCCGCUACCGCCGCGCCAGGGCCUCGCCUCGCCCUCACUGGCCACCGGCGACCUCCAACCCUUGUUCUCCGCCUCGUCGCCAUAGCCACCUUGAGCUCGAGCAGAGGAGCGGCUCGGCAGGAGGGGGCAACAGCCAGCCGCGCCUCGUCCGUGUCGCGUGGUGGCCCAGAAUGCGGUCGUCCCGUGCUCUGCCUCCACGAGCGCGGCCUCGAUCCAGACUCGGCAGAAGGAGGGGAGCAGCAGCCGGCCAUGCUGUGUUGGCCGUGGAGGAGGAAGGAGCUCAUGUGGCUAGGGUUUGGCUACCCUCGUCAUCCAUCUCCUCGAUCUCUCUCUGCCUGGCCGUGGUCUGAAGGAGGAAGAAGGGACGCAGCGAAAUCGAGCGAUGCGGGCUGCAAUAGCCUAAAUAGGUGGCGGUCGAGACCACGGGAGCGGGAGCGACGGCCAUCUGCCCCCGCCCCACUCUCUUUACCUCUUCUAUGGAGAUGCUUUGCUGGGGACAUAUGAUUUCAUCCCAUUCUGUACUAUCCAUCAGGCCUCGGAUCCACGGCUUCUCCAUCUUCUUCCUCCAGCCCCUUUCUCCAUGUCGGCCAUCCAAGAUAGAGACGGCUUGGAUGGCAAGGGCCAAGCAUCAGCAUGGACGACGGCCUCCAAGAUUUAAGUGGUCAAGUAUGAAUGACGAUGCAGCCUGCAGAGUCAGGGUACCGACACCCAAAUAAGUUCAGGCCAGUCCUUGAUGUGAAGAAGCUAAGGGAGGCGGAUCCCGACCCUUAUGACAGCCAAAAUUAGGCCGCCACUCGUCUCUCUCCUGCACCUGCUCUUCAGAUGGCCAACAACACUUCGCGAGCAAUGACUGCUGUCCAGUUAAGAGCAAGAAAGAUCUUGCUGUUACUUGUCUUUUCAACAGUUAUUCUGUGUGGAAGGCACUUUGCUCACACUCAAAUACUACCUCUGAAACAUGGAAGAAGGAAAAGGUUACUCUUCUGAUCUUGAGAAAACAGUUUCAGAGAAGCUAGCAGAUGUAGAAGAAUCUCUGAAGAAGUUGAAGCAGGUUCUCUUCAAUUUGCUGUUGUGCUAGGCAUGAACAGGAUGGCUUCCUCUUCUUGCGAACCACACUGAUGUUGGCUUCUGGUUUCUGCUGCAAUGGUUUUUUUUACUAUGGAUAGCGUUUCUUGAGGCUAUGUCUCUGCUAUAGGUCUCCGCAUUUCGGGGGACUAAGUCCGACGACGGGAGAUUCUACAUAUAUUUUCUAAAAGACAUGUCGCUUGGUCGAGGCCUUGAUCAUGGUGAUGUGUUUAUUCGUCCGGUGACUCAGUAGAACGAUAACCUCUGUGCACAGUGAUGUUUCAGUUUCUACAUAGAUGGUUUCAAGCAUAAGAAGGUUUCAAAAUUAAAUGAGUCUUGUACAGGACUGAUAACAAAUUAUGCUUUCUGAGUUUCUGAGUUUCAAGCUACUGAAAGUAAUUGAAGCUUUGCCUUCGCUAUGUAAGAAUGGUUGCAUGUGUUAAUUAGUGGUGCACAUUUUUUGAGACUGUCCAAAAUUCUAUUAUAAAAUGCUUAUAUGAAAUUGAUGGGUA